rnacentral:rRNA from 1 species
GGUUAAGUGACUAAGCGUACACGGUGGAUGCCUUGGCAGUCAGAGGCGAUGAAAGACGUAGUAACUUGCGAUAAGCCCAGAUUAGGUAGUAACAACCAUUUGAGUCUGGGAUUUCUGAAUGGGGAAACCCACGUGCAUAAGCACGUAUCCUUACCUGAAUACAUAGGGUAAGGAGGCGAACCGGGGGAACUGAAACAUCUAAGUACCCCGAGGAAAAGAAAUCAACCGAGAUUCCGAAAGUAGCGGCGAGCGAAAUUGGACUAGCCCUUAAGCUUUACACGCGUUAGACGAACGGUCUGGAAAGUCCGACGAUACAGGGUGAUAGUCCCGUAGUUGACGACGUGUGUUCAGUGAAAUCGAGUAGGGCGGGACACGUGAUAUCCUGUCUGAAUAUGGGGGGACCAUCCUCCAAGGCUAAAUACUACUGACUGACCGAUAGUGAACCAGUACCGUGAGGGAAAGGCGAAAAGAACCCCUGUGAGGGGAGUGAAAUAGAACCUGAAACCGUGUACGUACAAGCAGUAGGAGCAGGCUUUGUCCUGUGACUGCGUACCUUUUGUAUAAUGGGUCAGCGACUUAUAUUCAGUGGCAAGGUUAACCAUCUAGGGGAGCCGUAGGGAAACCGAGUCUUAACUGGGCGUUCAGUCUCUGGAUAUAGACCCGAAACCAGGUGAUCUAGCCAUGGGCAGGUUGAAGGUUGAGUAACAUCAACUGGAGGACCGAACCGACUAAUGUUGAAAAAUUAGCGGAUGACUUGUGGCUAGGGGUGAAAGGCCAAUCAAACCUGGAGAUAGCUGGUUCUCCCCGAAAGCUAUUUAGGUAGCGCCUCGGACGAAUACUACUGGGGGUAGAGCACUGUUAAGGCUAGGGGGUCAUCCCGACUUACCAACCCUUUGCAAACUCCGAAUACCAGUAAGUACUAUCCGGGAGACACACGGCGGGUGCUAACGUCCGUCGUGGAGAGGGAAACAACCCAGACCGCCAGCUAAGGUCCCAAAUUACUACUAAGUGGGAAACGAUGUGGGAAGGCUCAGACAGCCAGGAUGUUGGCUUAGAAGCAGCCAUCAUUUAAAGAAAGCGUAAUAGCUCACUGGUCGAGUCGGCCUGCGCGGAAGAUGUAACGGGGCUAAGUAGUAAACCGAAGCUGCGGCAAUGUGCUUUUGCACAUUGGGUAGGGGAGCGUUCUGUAAGCGGUUGAAGGUGUGUGGUAACGCAUGCUGGACGUAUCAGAAGUGCGAAUGCUGACAUGAGUAACGAUAAAGGGGGUGAAAACCUCCUCGCCGGAAGACCAAGGGUUCCUGUCCAACGUUAAUCGGGGCAGGGUAAGUCGACCCCUAAGGCGAGGCCGAAAGGCGUAGUCGAUGGGAAACGGGUUAAUAUUCCCGUACUUCUUACAAUUGCGAUGGGGGGACGGAGAAGGCUAGGUGGGCCUGGCGACGGUUGUCCAGGUUCAAGUGCGUAGGCUUAAGAGUUAGGUAAAUCCGGCUCUUUUUAAGGCUGAGACACGACGUCGAGCACCUACGGGUGUGAAGUCAUUGAUGCCAUGCUUCCAGGAAAAGCCUCUAAGCUUCAGAUUGUAAGGAAUCGUACCCCAAACCGACACAGGUGGUCGGGUAGAGAAUACCAAGGCGCUUGAGAGAACUCGGGUGAAGGAACUAGGCAAAAUGGUACCGUAACUUCGGGAGAAGGUACGCUCUUGAUGGUGAAGUCCCUUGCGGAUGGAGCUGACGAGAGUCGCAGAUACCAGGUGGCUGCAACUGUUUAUUAAAAACACAGCACUGUGCAAAAUCGUAAGAUGACGUAUACGGUGUGACGCCUGCCCGGUGCCGGAAGGUUAAUUGAUGGGGUUAGACUUCGGUCGAAGCUCUUGAUCGAAGCCCCGGUAAACGGCGGCCGUAACUAUAACGGUCCUAAGGUAGCGAAAUUCCUUGUCGGGUAAGUUCCGACCUGCACGAAUGGCGUAAUGAUGGCCACGCUGUCUCCACCCGAGACUCAGUGAAAUUGAAAUCGCUGUGAAGAUGCAGUGUACCCGCGGCUAGACGGAAAGACCCCGUGAACCUUUACUACAGCUUGGCACUGAACAUUGACCCUACAUGUGUAGGAUAGGUGGGAGGCUUUGAAGCACGUACGCCAGUAUGUGUGGAGCCGUCCUUGAAAUACCACCCUUGUAGUGUUGAUGUUCUAACGUCGACCCCUAAUCGGGGUUGCGGACAGUGCCUGGUGGGUAGUUUGACUGGGGCGGUCUCCUCCCAAAGAGUAACGGAGGAGCACGAAGGUGGGCUAAUCACGGUUGGACAUCGUGAGGUUAGUGCAAUGGCAUAAGCCCGCUUGACUGCGAGAAUGACAAUUCGAGCAGGUGCGAAAGCAGGUCAUAGUGAUCCGGUGGUUCUGAAUGGAAGGGCCAUCGCUCAACGGAUAAAAGGUACUCCGGGGAUAACAGGCUGAUACCGCCCAAGAGUUCAUAUCGACGGCGGUGUUUGGCACCUCGAUGUCGGCUCAUCACAUCCUGGGGCUGAAGUCGGUCCCAAGGGUAUGGCUGUUCGCCAUUUAAAGUGGUACGCGAGCUGGGUUUAGAACGUCGUGAGACAGUUCGGUCCCUAUCUGCCGUGGGCGUUGGAAGAUUGAAGGGGGCUGCUCCUAGUACGAGAGGACCGGAGUGGACGAACCUCUGGUGUUCGGGUUGUGUCGCCAGACGCAUUGCCCGGUAGCUAAGUUCGGAAUCGAUAACCGCUGAAAGCAUCUAAGCGGGAAGCGAGCCCUGAGAUGAGUCUUCCCUGAUACUUUAAGUAUCCUAAAGGGUUGUCGGAGACUACGACGUUGAUAGGUCAGGUGUGUAAGUGCUGUGAGGCAUUGAGCUAACUGAUACUAAUUGCCCGUGAGGCUUAACCAU